UGUGGUGAUCCACGUGACCCUCUUGUGAGUUCUCCCUACCGCUGGCAGCGGGGUCAAUUGAGAGAAACUCAGCGUUACAACUGUAAAACCGGAUUUAAAACCACAAAUACCCGGGGUGUUGCCACAUGCACAAGUGAUGGCUCCUGGACUCCAGACCCACUCUGUGAAGAGAUAACAUGUGACAAGCCAGAUAUCCUAAAUGCUGUGAUUAA